rnacentral:rRNA from 1 species
UAAGUUUGAUGUCAAAUAUGAUGGCUCAACCAUCAAGAGGCGUUGAAAACUAGUUUAUCUAGAAUCUCGGAGAGGUAAGUGGAAUUCCAUGUGUAGCGGUGGAAUGCGUAGAUAUAUGGAGGAACACCAAUGGCGAAGGCAGCUUACUGGACGAAGAUUGACGCUGAGGUGCGAAAGCGUGGGUAGCAAACAGGAUUAGAUACCCUGGUAG